rnacentral:tRNA from 1 species
GAGGGUAUAGCUCCGUGGUAGAGUGCAUGCUUAUCAUGCACGAGGUCCUGGGUUCAAUCCUCAGUCCUUCCA